GGUUCUAUGGUGUAGGGGUUAGCACUCUGGACUCUGAAUCCAGUAACCUGGGUUCGACUCCCAGUAGGACCU